ACAGAGUCCAAGGUUCUCUUAGGAUGCAUGACAUGGGGACCUAUUGUAGACUAGGGGAAGGGGUGAAUAUUGUGACAAUGUGUUUCAGUCUGAAGUUUGAGCAGAGCCUGGGUAAGAGGGUAGGAGUGGUGAAUGGGAGAAGAACAUUCUAGAUGGAAGGAACUGUGAGUGGCCAGGCCCUGAGGAUGGAAGGCCAUUGGCAAGUUCCCAGAGGCCCAAAUGCCUGGGGAGUGGUGAGCAGAAAGGAAGGUGGCAGAGACAAAGCUGGAACAGCAGAUGGGCAGACCUUCGUUACCCUCAUGCCCGGCUCACCUCACUAUGGCUGUCUGGAACACACGCCCCUGUAAACUGUCAAUGAGAACCCCCUGGCCUUGUCAUCUUUGAGUUGGGGCAGAUAUUUGAACCAAAAGCUCCAGUGGAGGCUCCCGCUGACAACCAGCAUCAACCACAGACACAUGUGUGAAUGGACCACCAUAUGACUCCAGUCCCCAUCUGGUCAGAGAUUUCAACACUUCAAAAGAUGAUACAGCAUACCUUUUGCAAACCGGAGGAUGAUAAGGUUUCAUGUAGGCAAUGGAGCCAGUGAUUACUUCUGAACCCCAGCAUGUACUUACUGGAAUCUGAGCUCACGAGUCUCUGAAUCCAUGACUAAUGCAAGUCAGAACCAAGUUUAUUGAUGACGGCCCUUUUCCUCCUUAGGGAUCAAAGUUUUCCAAUGUAUAUACUGAUUACGGCUCUCAAAUUAGCUCUAAGCCUAUUUGCAUGUAAUGCAAGAAUCGUUACCUAUGCAGAUAAUCCCCCUUGUACUACAGUUUAGCAGAGUUUCAGCACAAAAAUAUGAUGAAGCUAAAAUUAUCAAACACCAUGAUGGAUGUUUAGAAACCUUCUGAGAGAAAAAGUUAAGAACGUUGCACAUUUCUUUUGUAUUGAUAUUAUAUGAUGA